rnacentral:rRNA from 1 species
UUUCGAAUCAUUCACAAUGGGCGAAAGCCUGAUGGUGCGACGCCGCGUGAGGGAUGAAGGCCUUCGGGUUGUAAACCUCUGUCACCGGGGAAGAAACGCUUCAAGUUAACAGUUUGAAGCCUGACUUAACCCGGAGAGGAAGCAGUGGCUAACUCUGUGCCAGCAGCCGCGGUAAUACAGAGACUGCAAGCGUUAUUCGGAUUCACUGGGCGUAAAGGGUGCGCAGGCGGUCGUGUGUGUGAGGCGUGAAAGCCCGGGGCUUAACCCCGGAAUUGCACCUCAAACUACACGACUAGAGCAUUGGAGAGGGUAGCGGAAUUCACGGUGUAGCAGUGAAAUGCGUAGAUAUCGUGAGGAACACCAGAGGCGAAGGCGGCUACCUGGACAAUUGCUGACGCUCAGGCACGAAAGCGUGGGGAGCAAAAG